rnacentral:rRNA from 1 species
UGGGGAAUAUUGCACAAUGGGCGCAAGCCUGAUGCAGCAACGCCGCGUGAGGGACGACGGCCUUCGGGUUGUAAACCUCUUUUAGUAGGGAAGAAGCGAAAGUGACGGUACCUGCAGAAAAAGCACCGGCUAACUACGUGCCAGCAGCCGCGGUAAUACGUAGGGUGCGAGCGUUGUCCGGAAUUAUUGGGCGUAAAGAGCUCGUAGGCGGUCUGUCGCGUCUGCUGUGAAAACCCGAGGCUCAACCUCGGGCCUGCAGUGGGUACGGGCAGACUAGAGUGCGGUAGGGGAGAAUGGAAUUCCUGGUGUAGCGGUGGAAUGCGCAGAUAUCAGGAGGAACACCGAUGGCGAAGGCAGUUCUCUGGGCCGUAACUGACGCUGAGGAGCGAAAGCGUGGGGAGCGAACAGGAUUAGAUACCCUGGUAGUCCACGCCGUAAACGUUGGGCGCUAGAUGUGGGGACCAUUCCACGGUUUCCGUGUCGCAGCUAACGCAUUAAGCGCCCCGCCUGGGGAGUACGGCCGCAAGGCUAAAACUCAAAGGAAUUGACGGGGUCAUAGCUGUUU